rnacentral:ncRNA from 1 species
UGUCGGGUGUAGUUAUGCUAUACAAUACCCUUUGGGGGAAAGCAUAACGACGGACUUAUCGCCGUGUUUGUUAGCGCCCGGCACUCUUUUU